ACAUAUAACCACUUCUAAAACAUAACCCUAACACACACUUGCACGUUUUCUACUUCUGCCCCCUUUCCCUUUUCCCCUUUCUCUAUCGAUGAAAGUAAGAUUGCUCAUCUAAUCAGUUCUGGUUCGUUCUUUGUUCUUGUCCGAUCAUGGUUGGAUAUCCUAGAUACUUCGGUCCAGAUCAUCCCAUUUUCAGACAUUUCUCUCAGAUCAAAAGGGGAUAAGCGAAUGUGCUGGAUUUGACUCUGUAAAAGGAUUGGUCUAUCGAGCAAGUGUUUGUAGGUUUUGAUUGCAGAAAGGAGUAGCUUUAUUUGGGUGUCUCUGAGAAAGGAGAAGGUUUACACACGAUUGGGCGAAGGAAGGAAUUGUCCAUUGAUGCAACCUGAAAGAAAAAAAAAGGUGGAGUUUACAACCAGCCGCAAUAAACAGGUAGAUAAUGGGGCAGAAAUAAUGGAGCAAAACCACCAAAUCAUGGGGCAGAAAUGUACGGAACCAAACCACCUCCGGAAACUACCAGUUUUGUAGGAGCCAUAUGUGGAGAACAUGGGGCCGAAAUUUGCGGAGGUAACUCCCAGCAAAAAAACUGCUCAUAACUACCGAGAUAGCGGUUAAAAAAUGGAGUUUAAACGGCCUGGAUUUAGUUUCAGCAAGAUCUAACGGUGGAGAUGGAUUUCAAAGGUAACCGUCACUUAAUGGGUUCCAUAUAUAUAUAUAAUUCUUGUUAAUUUUUGAUGUAUUAUGUUGUAUGUGAUGGAUUCUUGUUAGGUAAAUUGAGUAUGAUAUGGAAUUAAUUGAUGUUUAGUUGUAUUUUAAUGAAAUUCGAUCCGCGGCGGAUUGGUACGAGGCA